CGAGAUAUGAACUUUAAAAUUCACCAUAUCCGAUGUUCACCAUGAAUACACAUAAAGAUGUUUUUAAUAAUGCCACUACUGAUAUAACCGAAGCAUAAGCUUGCAGUUUUCUAAUGUGUCCAAAACACUCUGUUAAUUCCGCGCAAUCAUUUUUAGAUAAUUCCUUGUGUCGGUCUGUCGAAUUUCAAUGUCAAAAGAGACAAGUUUGUAGCGUUUUGAAAUAUAAUGAAAAUGGAAGCAUCCAUUUAGAAAUGUUAAUGUUACCUUUACUGGACGUUACUGGAGGUUAGCUCAAGGUGAUAUAUAUGUAAAAGCAUAGUAUGUUCCCCUUGAUACCAUACAACUUUUGUCUGAAACAUUUCUUCAUAUCAUGAAAAAUAAGAGAGUAACUAAGGGUGGCAGAGUUAGGUUAGGAACUACAUUAAAAACUCGUCAAAUGGAUUCUGACAAAAUCAAGAAAAGAAGCAUCCUAUGUACGUCGUGUGAAAUGGCAAGUGAGACGUGGCAAUAAAUAUUUUAAUCGAUCAUGAAUAAGAACGUUAAAUCAACGUAUUUACGAAAGUAUCGAUUAUACGAAAUGUCCUAGUCGUCCUACAAGAAUAGAUUCAACGGUGUUCAAUGGGAAACUGAAUUAUUCACUGAGACGCUUCUGAAUCUGAAUUUUAUUAAAUCACGUCCGCGAGAUUUACGAGCCCGGCUCCCUUAGGAAAGCACGAUUGUUUGAUCACGUAAAACGUUUCUUAGUUUUCUGUUCUGUUUGCCUGCCUUUAAUGUCGCUAAUACUGACAAGAACGACCAUAAGCUGUCCAUUUAACAGAUCAACGAAAUAUUAAUUACUUAUCACUUAUGCAUAGGUUUGGUAAUAGGUCUUGUUGUUAAUAAAAAUCAAGAACUCUUUGAUAAUUUUAAGAAACGUGAAUAUGAUAAUUGUUUUUAAUUUUUUUAUGAAGAAUUGAUAAUCAUUCUGAAUUGUAAAGAGUAGAAAUUUUAAUUAUUUAAUACUUUUAGAUAAUAGACAUUUAAUAGUUUUUAUAUUUAUUACUUAUUAUAUUUAUGUGUAAUUAUAUGAUAAUUAUUGACAUAUUUUUUUAAAUGAUAAACGUGAUUUUUGGGUAGUUUCGUUAUAUUUCAAUGGUAUAAAAAGAAGACGUAAGAAUAAAAAUCUGAAACAUUUAUCUUAUCAGGCAGAAUAUCGUAAUUAAAUUUCACUUUCUUUUCCUUGUGGCUAUCAAUUUACGUCAUUAGUGUGUAAUCGCAUAAAAUUGAUUCUGAGGUAAAAUUCAUGGCACUAUCUUCUUUCUCUAAGAAUUUAUUAUAAAAAGAAAAUUUAGGUAAUUUCCAUAUCUCUAAAUAAAUGUUUUAAUUAAUUUUGUUUAAUUCUGAUUUAAAAGAAUUAUUUACGUGUCUUUGAAAAUUUCUGUUUAAAAGAAGGAAAACAGAAAGAAGGAAGAAAUUACUACAUUUUAAAAUAAUUCAAUUGGACUAAGAAAGAAACGAAGAUAAUUUUUUAGUAACAGUUUUAAAAUUUCUUGAAAAUAAUUAAAUCUGUAGACGAAGAUCGUUAUCUUGAGAAAUUGAAGAAUGUAUUAUUGAAAACAAAAUGCUCUGUAACUUCGAUCUUCGAGCGAUUGAGAAUUCCAAUAGCCGAUGGUCAGACCUACUUCUACUACUUGAACCAUAAUGUAAUGUGACGGCUGUCUACCCAUGGGUAGGAACAAUCUACUGACGUUCCUCUGGCAAUUCUGGCAUGCAUGAGUUACACAAUAUAGGAAUAGGGAUGUAUUUCUGACAAAGUUUAACUUCUGCAAAUAUUACUAGUGAUAAGAUACAUAUAAUAAAUUGUCAUAAUCAGGUACAGAAUUUAUCAAAUUUUACCUUUUAUAGUUAAGUAAAGCUAUCUUAUAAAGUUUUCAUUAGAUGAUUAAUCUUUAAAGUAAGACAUAAGUAAUAUAUUUAUUAAUAUAACAAAAUUUUACAUAGACACUAAAUUUUAUUAAUAUAAUUGUUGAAAAUUAUUAAAAUGCAUUGUAUUAAUAAAUUAAUAAAAUUUGACAUCUAUUAUAUUAUAUUUUAUCGUAUUCUCUUAUUAUAUUGUAAACUUUCGUUUUCAAAUAAUUCUAAUCUCGUAUCAUUUUAUAUAUACAUGUAUAAAAUUUUAAGGCAAAAGAAAUUUAUAAAACAUCUUCCUAUAACAUGUUUUAUUUAAAUUAUUUUGUCAUAAUAAUUACUUUAUAAGGCGUGAAUAUUCCUCAAAUCUAAUUCUUACAAAUUACACUUAUUUUUAGAAUUAAACAAAUACUUGCAACGGAAUGCAAUCCAUAGAGAAAGGAAAAAAAAACUCGUUUACAAUUUCAAUAAAUAUUAACUUGGUUGCAGCAAUAACAAUGCUGUUUAAUAUACCACAGAGAGCCCUUCCUAUUCCCUUAAUUCCACCAAGUGAUUUUGGCGUUGAUUUACACGUUUAUCUUCCUUUGAAAUGCUUGUGAAAGUAUUUUAAAAAAUCUGUCACUGUUACAACAUAUUUAGUAAGUGCAAAUUUUAGUGACUUUAUAAAAAUGAAUUUUAGUAAUCUUUUAAAACAUUUUUUUUGUAGAAUACAAUAUAAUUUUUUAGAUUAAUUAUCUAGGCCUAAUUUAGUGAACUAAUAUUAUUAAUGAAAUUUUACAAAUCACAAGUUACAAAUUAUUAAAAACAAUUACAAUAAGUAUACAUGUAUAAUAGGCAAAAGUUUGGUAGUAAAACAAAGAAAAUUUUACAAACUUGAAAAUCAUUUGAUUGUACUAUUUUGUGCCCUAUCAUUUGCUAUAUUAUUUAUUCAAAAUUGCUCUAUAACUAGUCACUUGUCAAUUCACUAAUAUUAUUAAUUAAACAUGAAUAAUGUUAGAUGAAUAAUUAAGAUAAAUGAGUAAACAAUUUAUACUAGUUUUAUAAAUUAUUUUGUAUUAUCAUAUAAUAAUUAAAAGAUUUAAAAAAAAUUUUAAUAACCAAAAUUAAGUUCGAGUUUAUUCAACAACCGUAAGAAUAUAUUUGACGGGGGUAGUCUUCUUCAGUAACCUUGAGUAGCUAUCUAGGUACUUCUCAACAAACUACAUACAAUCUAAAACCUCGUGAUCAAAAGUGCUUUCAAGAUCGCUUAUUGUUAACCUCAACAUUAUAACAAUAACCACGACAAUAAAUGCAACGAGAAAUAGGAAUGGUCAUGUCUUUUAGAUACCAUUCCAGAGAUUGUCUACCAAGCUCCAUACAAUUUACCUCAUACAUAAGAGGAACCAUUCAAACAGUUGAUACAAAGACAUUUUAUCAUUCACAAGGUAGAAUCAAUGAAAAAUCCAAACAACAAUGAAAAUGUAUGAUCUAAUUAGGGAUGAAGCGGCGAUGGAAAAGACCCUGGAUACUAGACAGUAUCAAGGCCAUUUUGGCCAAGAGCAACGCCUUGCCACCGAGAACCGCGAGGAACUGGAAACCCAUGGGUAUCAAGAUCGAACCCAUCAGCAGGAAGCCCAUCAUCAUCAGCGGCACCAU